rnacentral:rRNA from 1 species
AUUGAACGCUGGCGGCAUGCCUUACACAUGCAAGUCGAACGGUAACGGGCCUUCGGGUGCCGACGAGUGGCGAACGGGUGAGUAAUGCAUCGGAACGUACCUUUCAGUGGGGGAUAACGUAGCGAAAGUUACGCUAAUACCGCAUAUUCUGUGAGCAGGGAAGCAGGGGAUCGCAAGACCUUGCGCUGAUUGAGCGGCCGAUGUCAGAUUAGCUGGUUGGUGAGGUAAAGGCUCACCAAGGCGACGAUCUGUAGCGGGUCUGAGAGGAUGAUCCGCCACACUGGAACUGAGACACGGUCCAGACUCCUACGGGAGGCAGCAGUGGGGAAUUUUGGACAAUGGGGGCAACCCUGAUCCAGCCAUGCCGCGUGAGUGAAGAAGGCCUUCGGGUUGUAAAGCUCUUUCGGCCGGGAAGAAAUCGUAUGGGCUAAUACCCUGUGCGGAUGACGGUACCGGCAUAAGAAGCACCGGCUAACUACGUGCCAGCAGCCGCCGUAAGAC